rfam:Pan troglodytes isolate Yerkes chimp pedigree #C0471 (Clint) chromosome 13, whole genome shotgun sequence.
GCCGGGCGUGGUGGUGCACACCUGUAAUCCCAGCUACUCAGGAGGCUGAGGCAGAAGAAUCGCUUGAGCCUGGGAGGCAGAGGCUACAGUGAGCCAGAUCGUGCCACUGCAUUCCAGCCUGGGCUACAGGGCGAGAUUCUGUCUCAA